rnacentral:tRNA from 1 species
GGAGAGAUGGCUGAGUGGACUAAAGCGUCGGAUGCUAAUCCGUUGUAUGAAUUAUUCGUACCGAGGGUUCAAAUCCCUCUCUCUCCG